CCUACGGGUGGCAGCAGUGAGGAAUAUUGGUCAAUGGGCGCAAGCCUGAACCAGCCAAGUCGCGUGAGGGAUGACGGUCCUAUGGAUUGUAAACCUCUUUUGUCGGGGAGCAAGGCCUGCCACGUGUGGCGGGAAGGAGAGUACCCGAAGAAAAAGCUCCGGCCAACCCCGUGCAAGCAGCCGCGGUAAUACGGAGGUUGCGAGCGUUAUCCGGAUUUAUUGGGUUUAAAGGGUGCGUAGGCGGACGGUUAAGUCAGUGGGAAAACGUGGGGGCUCAACCCCGGCCGGACGUUGAAACUGGCAGUCUAGAGUUGGAGAGAAGUAUGCGGAAUGCGCGGUGUAGCGGUGAAAUGCAUAGA
rnacentral:rRNA from 1 species